CGGGACACGGAGGCGGGGACUCGGGGCGCUUGGGGAGGCCCCGCCUGCGCCCCGCCUCUCCGCCCGGAAGUGGGGUCGGUGGGCCACUCCCCUGCGCGCCCAGGACAGGCCCCGCCCGCGCCCCGGAGCUGCUCUGCUGCUUGCAGAUCUGCUGAAGACGCGGCUCCCUGCGCCUGUGGGCCCCCAUCCCCGGGCUGCGGGGGGACUGGGCCACCGGAGAAGUCACGCCCUGCGCGGAAGCCACGGGGCUGCGCGCGGAGCGCCUGGGAAAGACACUUGGGGCCGGGCAUGGUGGGAGGCUGAGGCAGGAGGAUCUUUGCGAGCCCGAGACCAGCCUGGGCUACAAAGUGAGCUCAACGCCAGCCUGAACUGCAUAGCAAGACCCUGCCUCAAACACACACACACACACACACACACACACACACACUCUAGAAAGACACCUAGAGAGGUUCCGCCUCCCUGCCUGGACUCUUGGGUGCGGUCUCCUUUCGGCUCCGCCUGGGCCCGCGGGUGGGAGGCGGGUGCAGCCGGGACGCGGUUCACAGCAAGAUUCUUCUGGGAACUGGGAAAUCUGCUCCUCAGUGGAUCCAUCAUGGAUGAGCUCCCGGCUGAAUGUGCUGUAGGAGGCAGGGCCUGGUGGAGGCGGUCACUGGGUGUGACCUGGAAGGUGAGUUCUUGUCCCCGGCUCCUCCCUUCUCUCUCUGCUUCCCGGCGACCAUGAUGUGAGCGUCUUUCCUCCUCCUGCGUAUCCGCCAUGAUGCUCCUGCCUUGGAGCAGCUAACCAUGGACUGCACCCUCUGCAACCAUCAGCCUAAUGAACCUGUUUUCCUUUAAACUGUUGGCUAUUUGUGGUAUUUUUUCCUGCACAAUAGAAAAGUAACUGAGACAUCCGUGAAAGCAAUGAACAUACCAGACAUUGCAGACCUCCCAAAGGGCUGGAGCAAGCCAUCUUUUAUCUCUUCAUGCAUGAGCCACUUUGAUGACAACAAGGUCGUGGUUUUCCCAGCUGUAUUUCCACACACCCAUCCACUGAAAUGUUGGCGUUUCUCUCUUAUCCACUGGAAAUAAGUCCCAUGAAUAUAGCGAAAUCCUUUAUAGAAAGCAUGGCUCCUCUACGGGUGCACCUGCGACUGACUUUAGCUUACACAUCAGUAAGAGAUUAGUGACAAUAACCAAUAAUAGAAUAGAACAGUGCUAAUGAUACACUGUACUCAAUGGUAUGUAGAUACGAUUUAUCCCUGUUUUUCAAGAAUAAAUGCUGCACAAAUAUGACUUCUCACUCUUGGUUCAGUUUUCCUUUUUUUCAAUUUUCUUUUUUUUCCCCUCCAUUUCUGUUUUUUCAUUUUCUUUCUUUCCCGGUUUUCAUUUUUAAACUUUUAUUUAUGUCAGUCGUCCUUUGCAGCAGGUAAGGAUUGCAUUUCUCGUGAGGAGAGGGUGCCGGGACAGGACACAUCCUGCUUCCUUCCCAGCCCUUUCUUCUUCUCCCUCCAUAUUGAUCUCCUUCCCUUUUGCCAGAAAUCUAUGUUUCUCUAUCUGGUUACCUAUAUUUUAAUUUGCUCUUUACUUAUAUUUCUUGUUCCUCAUGUGGUACUGAAGCUUGUGUGUCAGAUGGAUUUCACUUCAUGGUAUGCUCUCAAGGUGCAUCCACUGUCCUACACAUGCCAGAAGUUCAUCCUUGUUCCUGGCUAUGUAAUACUCCGCUGUGGGUAAUUCUGAUAGUAACAACCUCAGUGUAAUUUUUUUCCUUAUUAAGAAAUUAAAAGAAAAGAAAUUCAGAACAUUCACUUUUUCACUUCAAGGACACGCAUUGUGGCUUCUCUUUAGAGUAUCUGAAUUGUCAGCAUUGUGACUCAGGUUUUAGGCUAUGAUUAUCACCAGUCAGGGAUCCUUGGACAUGAAUCCUCUGAUAUCAUGGAGUCAAUCUGAUAACCAAUUAAUUAGCCUGUGACUAAUGGGUGGGUAGCACACCCGACGUGGAUGAACUAGUAGCAUCAAGUGUUCAUCCACGAGCAACUGGGGGAUAAAUGUGCCUCAUCUCCUGCUUUCUCUUUUAUUAUUUUCCUCCUCCACCCCUCCUCCUUUCCUUUCUCUUUCUUCCUCCUAUUUUUGUACUCCUCACAGUUGAACUCACUGGCAUCAAACUGAGCUAUGAUCCCAGCACUUUGUUAAUUAUUUAUUUAUUACUUAUUUAUUUUGAGGCAGAAUCUGGCCUGUUCAGGCCGGGCUGCGAUUUGCAAUCCUCCUGCCUCAGCUUCCCAGCAUGCUGGGAUGACAGGCGUGCAUGACCAAGUCCAGAUUAAAAUAUUUUUAUAACAAAUUUCUUUCUCGUAUGUGUGCAGCUCUUUGAGAAAUUUGGAGACACCUGCUGCCCCUUAAGCUCAGAGAUUUUCAGACCUUCUGGGCCUUUUCUUGUUGGCACCCUCUGGCUAACUUUGCCAGUGUAUUGGUUUCAACUCCAGGCUGCUUUCUGGGACAGUGGCUAUAUUUGGGCUCCAAGAGUACAGACCCACAGCCCGGGUAGCUGACACAGCAGAGCUCGGUGGCCCAGUCCUGGAGGCUGAGGUCCACUGCACUGGUCUCUCCCUAUCUUAGUCCAUGGGGGCCGCCAUAUGCAAUCCCACAGCCCGGG
rnacentral:lncRNA from 1 species